rnacentral:lncRNA from 1 species
GCUCCUUCCUUGCCCUCGCCAACUCUGGUCUCAGGCCCCGCUGCAGCUGCGGACUCGGGGCUCCCCCGACCGUGCCGUUUGGCCGCUCAGCUGAUCCCUCCGCGAGGGGGUGCGGCUAGGGGUGGGAGGAGGACACGGCAGCUGCGGUGACGGCGGGCGGGUACUGGAGGAUCGUCUUCCGCGGCAGCAGCGGCUUUAGCGCGGAGGUCGGCAACGGCCUCGGGCGCCCCGCCGCUUCGGAUAUUUCCGCCGCCUGCCCGCUUUGGCUCUUCCCGCCCGGCCUGCGUUGUGCGCCUGCGCAGCCGCCGCAAACCCGCGUUGCUCAGCGAUGGAGUUUGGGGUUCGGCCUCCUUCGGCUGGACUCGGGCAUUUCCGUU